UCUGUCCCUCAUGGGGCGGGGUUAAAAGCUCCGGCGGUGAAGGAUGAGCCCGCGGCCUAUCAGCUUGUUGGUGGGGUAAUGGCCUACCAAGGCGACGACGGGUAGCCGGCCUGAGAGGGCGACCGGCCACACUGGGACUGAGACACGGCCCAGACUCCUACGGGAGGCAGCAGUGGGGAAUAUUGCACAAUGGGCGAAAGCCUGAUGCAGCGACGCCGCGUGAGGGAUGACGGCCUUCGGGUUGUAAACCUCUUUCAGCAGGGAAGAAGCGAAAGUGACGGUACCUGCAGAAGAAGCGCCGGCUAACUACGUGCCAGCAGCCGCGGUAAUACGUAGGGCGCAAGCGUUGUCCGGAAUUAUUGGGCGUAAAGAGCUCGUAGGCGGCUUGUCACGUCGGAUGUGAAAGCUCGGGGCUUAACCCCGAGUCUGCAUUCGAUACGGGCUAGCUAGAGUGUGGUAGGGGAGAUCGGAAUUCCUGGUGUAGCGGUGAAAUGCGCAGAUAUCAGGAGGAACACCGGUGGCGAAGGCGGAUCUCUGGGCCAUUACUGACGCUGAGGAGCGAAAGCGUGGGGAGCGAACAGGAUUAGAUACCCUGGUAGUCCACGCCGUAAACGUUGGGAACUAGGUGUUGGCGACAUUCCACGUCGUCGGUGCCGCAGCUAACGCAUUAAG
rnacentral:rRNA from 1 species